rnacentral:rRNA from 1 species
AGAUUGAACGCUGGCGGCAGGCCUAACACAUGCAAGUCGAGCGGUAGAGAGGUGCUUGCACCUCUUGAGAGCGGCGGACGGGUGAGUAAUGCCUAGGAAUCUGCCUAGUGGUGGGGGAUAACGUUCGGAAACGGACGCUAAUACCGCAUACGUCCUACGGGAGAAAGCGGGGGACCUUCGGGCCUCGCGCCAUUAGAUGAGCCUAGGUCGGAUUAGCUAGUUGGUGAGGUAAUGGCUCACCAAGGCGACGAUCCGUAACUGGUCUGAGAGGAUGAUCAGUCACACUGGAACUGAGACACGGUCCAGACUCCGUAACGGGAGCAGCGAGUGGGGAAUAGUU